rnacentral:lncRNA from 1 species
GCAAGUUCCCUUUGUGACCUCACCGGAGUUCAGAGCACUGCCUCCCCCCUGCUGCGUGGACACCUCUANNNNNNNNNNNNNNNNNNCACGGACCUGGGACAAAUGACCCCACCUAAGGCAGGGUCCUUACAGUUCCGCAAACUUUCACUCUGCCCCCCUGGGCAGGGGAGAGGGUGAGGAGGGGAGGCAGGAGGGUACACGGGGUCAGCCCCCCUCCCCCCAGGUUGAAGUUAACAGGUACCUGGGCUCCCAUUUGGGGCCCCUGGAGGCGCUGUCCCCGCUGAUGGGCCCCGGCUCCCGGGCUCCACCUGCCUCGGGUGGGCCAGGUCCCAGCCGGGCUCGGCGCCGACUUGGCCGGAGCGCCCUGGACGCAGGCCUCAGCCCCUGACAGCUGGUCCUGGGGGGCACGGCUCAGCAGAUCGGGGCGCGAGACGGUGAAGAAGGUGACACAUGGGGGUCCAUCUGUCCAGCCAUCCCUCAUCCGUCCGUGCGUUCAUUCAAGAAACGUCUCCCCAACACCCAGAUUGACACAUAAAAUUAACCAUCACAACCACCAAGCCAAAUUUGGGAACUGGGAACACAUAUGGCCUGGCCAACUGACCAACUACAGCAGUCUGAAUGGCGGUGAGUCUGGAUCCCUUAUCAAUGGCUAAUUUGAUCUCCUAGACAUUUAGAGGGAUGCUUCCCUCCAUCAGAACAUCAUAAUCCACAAAAUGAGAAUACACGGUACUCUGAGGACUCUAAAAGAGCAAUUCAGGAAUUGCUGAAGCAGCAUUGAAGUGCUUUCCUGUGAGCAGGAACAACCACAGUCACUUGUGAGUUAACUUGUUGAACUAAACCCAGAAGAAUGCAGGUUCUCAGUAAUCAUAGAGUUUUUUUUUAAAAUUCAUGAUAGACACAGAGAGAGAGGCAGAGAUACAGGCAGAGGGAGAAGCAGGGAGCCCGAUGCAGGGAGCCCGAUGCGGGACUCAAUCCCAGGACUCCAGGAUCGCGCCCUCGGGCAAAGGAAGGUGAUAAACCCCUGAGACACCUGGGGAUCCCCAGUAAUUGUACAGUUUGAAGGUCCCAGGCCCUGGGGUCAGGCAGCCUGGGCUUGAAUCCUGGCUCUGCCACUUGCUCUGUGGCCAAGGGUUGGUUGCUUGAUCUCUCUGAGCCUUGUUUUUCUCACCUGUAAAAUGAGAUGCCAGUCCUUUGCCUGAUGGACCUGCAGCACGAGUUAAAUGAGAAGCCAUGGGUGGAAUGCAUGCAGGGUAACCCUCCCCAUGGUGAGCCUCAAAACACAUCAGCCACUAUUGCUUCUUUCCAAAUCUCCA